rnacentral:rRNA from 1 species
CCCUUAGAUGUUCUGGGCCGCACGCGUGCUACACUGAGUAAUUCAAUGGGUAAGGGAACACUAGAGCAUUACCUAAUCUUGAAAUUUGCUCGUGAUGGGGAUCGACGGUUGCAAUUUUCCGUCGUGAACGAGGAAUACCUUGUAGGCGCAUGUCAUCAUCAUGCGCCGAAUACGUCCCUGCCCUUUGUACACACCGCCCGUCGCUCCUACCGAUUGAGUGAUCCGGUGAGGCUCUGGGACCUGGACGGAAAGAGCGUUUCGCUUGUUCUGUUUGGGAAACUUGGUCGAACCUUAUCAUUUAGAGGAAGGAGAAGUCGUAACA